CGAACGCUGGCGGCAUGCCUAACACAUGCAAGUCGAACGAGCUCUUCGGAGUUAGUGGCGCACGGGUGCGUAACGCGUGGGAAUCUGCCCUUGGGUACGGAAUAACUCAGAGAAAUUUGUGCUAAUACCGUAUAAUGACUUCGGUCCAAAGAUUUAUCGCCCAAGGAUGAGCCCGCGUAAGAUUAGCUAGUUGGUGGGGUAAAGGCCUACCAAGGCUACGAUCUUUAGCUGGUCUGAGAGGAUGAUCAGCCACACUGGGACUGAGACACGGCCCAGACUCCUACGGGAGGCAGCAGUGGGGAAUAUUGGACAAUGGGCGAAAGCCUGAUCCAGCAAUGCCGCGUGAGUGAUGAAGGCCUUAGGGUUGUAAAGCUCUUUUACCCGGGAUGAUAAUGACAGUACCGGGAGAAUAAGCUCCGGCUAACUCCGU
rnacentral:rRNA from 1 species